ACAUGAGCCCUUGUUUCCAGUAUGUGAGUCAUCAUUGCCACCAAUGGUCUGGGUCGUUGGCUGUGCACACACAUCCACAGACAGUACAACAACAGCCUCUAGUCCCUUGUUGCUGACCUUUGGGAAGCUGGGCAUGUAAGGGAGAUCUCCAAAGUAUUUCCUUUACCUCACCAUCAUUUUGGAGCCACUAAUUUGAUAUUGAAAUAGAAAUUAUCCUCUGUGCCCUACAAGAAGAGAUAACACAGAAGAAAAGAGGCAGGAACUGCAAGUCCCUUGACAGCCACAGGACAUUGACUGAGCUACUGUUCUAUUGCUGGGAAAAGGCGCUGUGCUGAAGGGAAUUUACAGAACAAAGCAUUAAAUUGGGAGCUUGCUUUCAGUGUCAGAGGGUUAGUCCAGUACCAUCACUGUGGGCAGCAUGGCAGCAGCCAGCCUGGCAGGACACCGUAGCAGUAACUGAGAG